CACUCGGCCCGGGGCAGGCCUCACGCGAACCGAACUGAGAGGGGCCUGCAACCGUUCGGGCCUCGCUCAAGUUCUUCUUGGCCGCCUCCAGCUCGCUCACAAAGGUCGCCAUUGCUCCCCACGUCUCAGCCCGACCGCAGACCGCUCUGCCACAGUGACCAACAACCGAAAAACCAAUUCGAGGCCCCUUCAAGCUUAUUCGUUUGUUCAGCAAAUACUAUUAUGUAUCUGGAACUCUAUUGUGGGCUGGAUUU